rnacentral:lncRNA from 1 species
CUUGCUAAAGCUUUACCUUGAAUCCCUAUAGCCUGCAUACCUGAGUCUUCACCUCUUUUCUAGUCGGUUAAGUCUUGUUGAGUACUUUUGUACUCAGGGUUUUAUAACCCCUGUUGCAGGUGCUGACUUAGACUGCUAAUGGAGGUCAUGUCGGUGGGCGCGACAUGAUUUAUCCACCUCUUCUAUCUUAGAAGCUUCACCUAAAAUGCUUUCGCUACUCUACACACCUUUUGGAAAUUUAGUUAAGUUUGUACUUCAUCAUAUGUUGUAAAUUAAGUUAUAAAUCUUCCGCACUCUGAUGUAAGUUAUUUUUGUAACAAAUGUUGUAAUGUUGUGGUAACUCCAUGUUGAUCCUGUAUGAGUUAAAACGUGGAUGAUUCGGGUUUCCCGAGGACACCCGACAGACUUCUUGAGUCAUUUGGAACUCGUGCACGCUGAUCAGAAGUCUUUGAGACAAUGAUGGGUGCAUGUGGGCCACUUAAUUCAGGAGGUUCUGCCACAGCUGGUAUCAGAGCUCAUACAUGGAUCUUCUGCAACAUUACUUGUGAAAAACUUCAAAAGGAAUUUACAAAUUAAAAGUUUUUGAGGAUAACGACUUAUAAAUGCUCCUUAACUUUUCUUAUGCUUGCUGUCCCCGUUCUACGAAGACUUUCUGUCGACUCAAAUAGAAGGCAUUGAAAGGGACUUCAAUUUUUCUUCAACAAGCCGAGUGAAGAAUCAAACUACUCCAACAAUGCUUUGUCAAAAGUCUUGCAACAUUCCAUCCAGAGCAAUAAAGAUAAUGUAUAAAGUAUGCCCUAUAUAAGUAGUUACCUCCUAGCUAACGUUGUAAAGACGUAUAGGACGAGCAUAUUGCAUAUCAAGCAUAACAUGACAAAUAUAAUGAUACAUAAAAGCCCCUCCUUAUGCUUCAAAACAGUUAUUAUUCGUUAUAGCUGUUUUAUUGAUGAAUCUCAUCAUGUACCAGGUUUCGUUAACUGAUUGAUAAUCAUUUACUCCAUAAGAUCCUAAUCCUUGAUUCAUUUGUUAUGCAUGUGACCUUCCUUGAUUUCAUCUAAUUCGGACACAUGCUACCUCCUUGAUGUCAAUUGUCAACAUUUCUGUUGAUUGAAUGUCACUAUGAUUGUGUCCUCUUAAGGUACCAUGACCCAUAACUUAGGUAACAACGCCGAAACCUGGGGUCUCCUAUGGCUCGCGACCAUAAGGAAAUACUGCCGGGCGCUCGCUGUUAUCAAAGUCUAUAAUCAUGAUCCCUUAUAGACCCACAACUUAGGUGACCUCACUCUUUGGACCAUAUUAUGGGAAUCCAUGCCCAUAUCUCUUUGGAAUUACCUAAAGCCCCAGACUUGGAUAACCAACAUAGGUCAUUGAAAGCUAUGGUAACCGUACUCUAUAGUAGGUACCAUGAUCCGUGAUCACGUUAUAGCGUCGAACCUUGUAGUCUCCUGUAGACUGCAGCCAUAAGGAAAUACUACAGGGUGCUCGUUAAACAUUGGGAUCUCUGGUCAUGCUCCACUAUAGUCUACUGUUAGGGUGCUUUCAUUCUCCUUGGAAGCUCAUUUGGAGAUUCAUAUCUUCGUAUGAAUUCUCUAAAAUUCCUGAUUGAUUACAACUUCUUGUUGAUCUUAGUUGUAAUUCUCGGACCAAUCGUAAUUGUUGUAUGAACUUCUCAGAAGUUAAUGUGCUUGACACAUUUCCUUUUCCAUUGCUUAACCCCACGGGUUUUAGUACCCUGGAAAUCUCGGGACGAGAUUUCUUUAAGGGGGAAGGGCUGUAACAUCCUUGAUGUUACGAAUACUAAAAACUGGAUCAUGUCAUCACAAGCAUUGCAAAGCAUAAUUGUUGAGCACAUCAUUAUGCAUUAACUUAAAAAUAAGUUUAUUUUGGUUGAUUGUGCUUAGGGAAUUAAAGUGUGUUUAUCAUGCUUGUGAUGGUUGUUUAAUCCCUAGCUAAGGAGGGUGGUAAGGGAAUAGCUAAGAAAAACCCCUAAUUUCAACCCUAGUUUUUGCCCCCUUUGGUGCAAUUUGAAAACUAAGUAAAAUUUGGGGAUGAGUUCAAAAGCAAAGUUGUAGAUCUUGUCAAGAUGUACAACUUUGGUGUUUUGAGUUUUUGAAGUUUCAGUACAAAAUUCAAAGUAAUUUUGAAAAUACAGAUUUCCAGAAAUUGUCCCCUUUUCCAAUUUGAAUCCACAAUUCAAAAUCUAUUUGGAAUCUUGAAAAGUGGCCAACAUAAAAGUUGUAGAUCUCAAAAAGUUAAACAACAUUGAUGUUGGGAGUUUUUCAAGUUGUUAUGGAAAAUCAAAAGUAAUUUUGGAAAUUCUGAUCUGCCCCAAUUCAAAUUGGAAUUUUCCCCAAAUUGGAAUUUGAAAUUCAAACUGUUUUGAUUAAAUUCAUCACCUUUCUUUCAAAAUCUGAAUUUGAGCUUUCAAGGAAUGUUGUAGUAAAUUUUGUGCUGCACAUUUCUUGUUUUGGUAGAUUUCUGAGUUUUUACACAAAAUAAAAAGUAAUUUGGUAAAUAAGGAAGAGGGAGAUAAGGACGAGCUACAGUAACUCGGGCAGUGGCCGCCGGCCAGCUCCACCUCCCGGACACCGCGAUGGACGCGCUGGCAUCCGGCAUGCCCUCCACGCAGCUGUGCGCCUGCUUGCCCUUGCCUAUUCCACGCCAUCCUCAUCCGAAGCGGACGACAGCGCCCUCCUUGCUUCCUAUUUCUUCCUCUGCUGUCCUGCCGCCGGAAACCAUGGCCGUCGAGCACCACCUCACCGUGGCCAACUAUCUCCAGUGGCUCUCUUGAUCUCUCGUUUGUCCCUUUAGCAUCCUUGCCAUUCCGUGAUGCUCAAAGACCUCCUUGUUGCAUCACAGGACUCCCUGGAACGAUGGCUCAUGGCCGUGUUCUGUGCUGCCGUACCGCUGCCCGCGCGGCCACGCCUCCUCGGAUCAUCACGGGGCAAGCCAUGGCCACCAAUGGAAGCGCAUGAGCCUAUUGAUGCUCUCAGCCUCUUCCCCGACGCCAACAUAUCUUUGUUGCGCUGAAACCUCCGCCGACGAGGAUUUCCUCUGUUUUCAAUUCGCGACCAAGGACCUCGUGCAACAAUUAGAACUUCUGCAGGGGUCUAGUUGCACAGACUGUGACUCAGGUGAAUAGUGCUAUAAGGACUUGUUUGUAGAUGUUUUGUUGAAUCUUUGAAAAUUCAUAUCUAGAGUUUGGUAGCUCCAAUUUUGGUGAACCAAAUUUUGUUGUGCUCCUUAGGAUGUCUAGUUUUUAUUAAAAAUAUAAAACUGACCAUGUUUUGCAGUAAAAUAAUUAGUUAUGAUUUAUGCCUUUUAAUUAUGUUUAAAAAGUUGAAAUUCAUAUCUAAUUCUGUGUAGCUCCUAUGGGCCUGAAAUUUUUACGGUGUUCUCAUGAUGUUAUGUGAGUGUUGCAGUAAAGAUUUCAUGUUCAGUGUAUGAUAUAUGGUUAAGUUAUUAAUUUAUCUUAUUUAGUGCUUAUUAAAUAUUUUACAAUUUAAGUAAAAAUAAAUAAAUGUAAAAUAUAGUUCCUCUGCCUUUAUAUGAGGUUGUUAUAACAUAUAGAUACAUAAUUUAGCUAUGUGUUUGUAGAAAUUGUCGAGUUUCUUAUUUAUCUUGCUGUUACAUGCGUUCUUGUGAUGGAAAUUUAUCUUUUUCAUAGAAAUUGCUAUAAUUAUCCAAAUGGCAUGAAAUUUAUACAGUAGACUUUGAAGAACAUAUAUGAGCUGCUGUAGUUUUCUCAGAAUUUACUGUGUAUUUUUGAUAUAUGGUUAUUACUUUGUCUAUUUAUCUAAAUUAAUUAAUAAAGACAUGAAAGGUAUUUAUUUAGGGAUGGCCAUGAUGUUCUCUAGUAUCUCUUUGAUGUAUUUCAACUGUUGGUGAGCUGGGUUUUGCCCAGGUUCAAGUUUGAAACAUAAAUGAAAUUUGAUUUCUCUAUAAUUUAAUUGUUAGUGGUUUCUCGAUAGUUUUUAGAGCAUGAUGAAUUGCUCUAGGUAAAUAAUGUUGGAUAUGAAACUUGUCUAUAACAAAGUUGUAUAGAAUUCAUGUAUCUAGCUGGUGUUAAAUUUUGGUGGCAUUUGGCCCUAUAGUUUCUGAGUUAUGCCUGUUUAAAUUUAAGUUUCAGAAAUGGUUCCUCUCUGUCAAAUUCUGGAUCAGUUUCUGUAGUUGUGCAAUUUCAACCUACUAAACUUAUGAAUCAUGCUUUCAUGAUAAAAGAUGAAUUGUAGUAAUUUUCAUAAGCUUUCCAAAAUGUUAUGGAUCAUGAAUUUUGGUGAUCUAGAACUCUGGUUAUAGAUGUAUGAAGCUUAAUGUCUGAUUCUGUCCAAAGUCUAGACAGAAUUGUUUAUUCAUGCUGUUUGGCUAUUUUAUCUUUUAAAUCAGUUCUCGAAGAUAAUAACAAAGUUGUAGAAAAUUAUCUAAGCUUUCCAGAAAGUCUAAUAUCAUCUUUAUUGGAUGUUUGGAUCUCUAAUUAUGGUUGAAUGAAGUUGUGUAUAUGCUGCUGUCCUGGUUAUGUGUGCAAAUAGAGUUGUUUGUUUUUAGCUAGCCUUUACUUAAAUAAUGAGUAGCUUAAUUUCCAAAUUAGAAUUUGAGUGCUUUUGGGAUUGUGUGAUGACCUGAGGUCAUUAUCUUUAAUGACCUUUGGCACUUAAUUAUUGUUUGAUGUUAAUACUUAAUUACUGCCAUUAAUAUUUAAUUAAGAAUUGAAUAAGAUAAAUAGAAAACCUAAUCAUUUUAGGUUUUGAUUGAUCUUUGGGAUUGAUUGACAACCAGUGGUUACUUGGCAUGAUAGGCUCUCUGGUUAUGGAUUAUUUCAUUUAAAUGAUCUUUGUUGCCUGAGAUCUAUACAACUUUGCUUCAUGAAAAUGAUAAAAUUUGUUUAGUAGUAAUCUAUGUUUUGAUAACUAAGUUAGUUUGUUUUUAUACCUUGAAGGUAAGUUGUACUCGAGGUAGUUAUGUUUGUUGUUAUCAUCCAAGAACAUGUAACCUGUCUUUAUCAUGUCAUGAACAUCUCAUUGAUCAUGCAUAUGCACUUCUACGUGUAGACUACGCUCCGGAGGAAUCUGAUCCUCAAUGGGUUGCUUCCGAGUUUGUGAAUCCAUCUGGUUUUGCUGAGUUGUCGGACUUUCCUUCCCGCCAAGGCAAGCCCCGGACAUUAAACCCUAUCCUUGUAUUUUCAUAAAGUUAUUUAUAUCACUUGAGUUAAUAUGAUGCAUUAGGUGAAUAGGAGUUGAAUGAAUCCUAUUUGCUGCAUUAUCUACCUUGAUGAUUUCAAUAUUAACCUUGAUACUUGCUUUAUGAAAAUGCUUAGUAUGCUUAGCCCUGCUUAUUAGAUAAGUUUUCAAAUGAGAAAGUUUGAAGGGUUGUUGUGAAAUACUUUUAUGGUUAAUCAUGUUUAAACUUGAGACCGGUCGGUGGACUUGCUUUAAGAAUGGAGUCUUAAAGUAGUGUCUCCAACUGUGUCGAUUAAGGACCGUACCGUUGAUUGGCCUGUUGUGAUUGAGACCUUUGAGUACAGCCCACAUGCGCUGGUAAGCCUUACCUAUAGCUAUUCCGAUACUUGAGAACGGCUAACCGCGUACUGGGAGUGGAGAGAUGGCGAGAGUAGCGUGUACCCACCUUACGGAUCUGAGAUGACCGGGAAACAUCUAGAUUGGCUGUAGGAUGGUGGUGUGCUGUACUCUCGGGUGACGCUGGACCCGUUCUUGUAUGGGAGGAUCUAUAGAAAAGGUUGACAUAUGCAAGAUUAAGUUCUACAUAUGUCGUGUGGUACUGAAUCCCCAGCUGGGUUUAAUCGAUUCGAAUCGCCGUGUUUCCUCGGAUAUGGAGCCUCAAUCCUCACCCCAUCAUCGUAGUAAUAAGUGAAUCUUUGGUAUAAGAAGGACAUGGUUUGCUUAUGAACGUUUGAUAAUGAUUUGGUUAGUCAUAAAUAAUAACCUUGAGUUAAAACUUGAAAGUAGAUUUUACUCUUAGUAAGCUUUUAUGCAAAAAGAAAUGCUUUGAUCUUGCUAAAGCUUUACCUUGAAUCCCUAUAGCCUGCAUACCUGAGUCUUCACCUCUUUUCUAGUCGGUUAAGUCUUGUUGAGUACUUUUGUACUCAGGGUUUUAUAACCCCUGUUGCAGGUGCUGACUUAGACUGCUAAUGGAGGUCAUGUCGGUGGGCGCGACAUGAUUUAUCCACCUCUUCUAUCUUAGAAGCUUCACCUAAAAUGCUUUCGCUACUCUACACACCUUUUGGAAAUUUAGUUAAGUUUGUACUUCAUCAUAUGUUGUAAAUUAAGUUAUAAAUCUUCCGCACUCUGAUGUAAGUUAUUUUUGUAACAAAUGUUGUAAUGUUGUGGUAACUCCAUGUUGAUCCUGUAUGAGUUAAAACGUGGAUGAUUCGGGUUUCCCGAGGACACCCGA